GCGCCUGUUCCCUGCUUGGCGGCAAAGGGCGGAGCGAGGAGCCUUGGAGUAGGGGGAUAGGGCGCUCGGCCUGGUCUCGUCUUACCCGGUGACGGAGGAGGAGCAAGGAUGCUCCCAGACGCGCCUGUCUUCGGCCGCUGGACCAGUCUCGCCGUGAAGCGUCCCAAAGCCCCUGGCGCUUUCAGCCCUAAGAAGUCUGAGUCCUGACCACUUCCUUGGGUCCCCCCUCCGCCCCCAUUCAGUCUCUCCAGGUUGUAGUGGCCCUGCGGUGCUCCCUGACGUGAGCAAUACGGGUGCAAAUGUCAGACUCUUUUCCUCAAGAAGUCGACCACCGAGUUGAAGACGCACCUGGGAGGGCUGUCCCGGCGUAGGGAGAGGGUGCGAGUACCUUUAUUCUCUCUUCCAGUACCGGCCAAGAACCAGAGGUUUGAAAUCAGCUGGGGAAACCGGAACGACACAACCGCAGGGGGAUGUAGAAUAGGGACAGUGCGUAGAGUGUGGUCCAUCAGGGAGGAUCCCUAGAGAUGAGGAAACUGGAGCUCCUAGAGGGAAGUGGCUUGCCCAAGACUACACAGCCAGCGAGUAGUAGAGCUGAUACCCAAACCUUCUGAUCACACAGGGGCUGAGAACACUCUUCAUCACACCAUGAUUCCUUCUUCGGCUACAGUGCCUACCACCUAGCAUUUUACUUUGCAAAGUGACUAAUACUCCAUUUCUCCUAAAAUAGAGCUUUCCUUGUCUAUAAAGGAA